rnacentral:lncRNA from 1 species
UUUGAAUGUAAAAUGGAAUUUGUAUUGAAUGAUAUAUUUGUACAUGAAAUGGAAAGAUGGUGUAAUUGGAAUUGAAUGGUGUAAUCUUGAAUAUCAUGGUAUAAUUGGAAUUGAAUUGAGAGUUUGAAUGUUGAAUGUUAAUUGGAAUUGAAUGGAAAAAUCAAAAACAUGUGGAAUUUUGAAGAUUCAAACAAUCAAAGAUGACUUGGUGGAGAAGAAAUGCAAGAAAUGGGAUUUAGGAUGGUCAAAAUAGUCAAUUGACUUUGGUCAACU